CCCAGAGGUGGGAUGCAAGAUGAGACCCAGCCACAGACGUAUGUGCAGAUCCCAGCUGAGAGGUAAGGCUGAGUCAGCCAGGGAGCACCAGGUCCUGAGCAGGAGGAGAGACACAAAAGUGCCAGUUACACCAGCUCCCAUGCAUGGCAUCACCAGUGGAUCUGGGGGACAAGAGUCAUCCCUCCGUCAGAGACCAUCCAGGGGCUCUGUGAGCCAUGUAGGUGUGUCAUAGACCCCCUUUCCACAUCAUCAUGUGGACCUGUAAGCCACACAUAUCCCUUCCUCACUUGGAAAGGAGUAGGGGGCAGAGGGGAGGGUGGUGGAAAUGUGAGGCUGAGCAUUUGUAUAUGUGGACCCAUCCCAGCACACUUACUUGUCAUAUUAGAUACGGACCCCCAGAGCAGAUGGCAGAAAGAAGAGAGGCCCACAUGGACACACAUAAGGGAGUAAUUGACUCAAAUGAGUCUGAUAACCCCAUGUUGGACUCUCCCCGGACACCAGCCAUUGGGGCUUUUACCUGGAAGAUGAU